rnacentral:lncRNA from 1 species
AUGAGACAGAUAUAUGCUUCUCUGCUUUCCACAAAGCAGGCUUUCCAAUUCACAGCUGAAUGCUUGUAUGUGAUUUGGGUCAGAAGAAAUUUCUCCAUGGGCUGCAAGUUCUGUGGGAGUUUUUUCUCCUGGAAACACCAUGCUUCUCAUUACAGGUAUGCUCCCUGGAUGAACAUUGUGCAGCAAUGCUCGGUCCAUCUCAGCACUACCCAGUUUGAAGCUUCAGCCUUGAGGGUGGCAGUGGUGAAUCUGACAGGGCUCUGCCAUCGAUACCCUGAAAAGUCAUCAGAUGGUGGUGCCUUCUUUGACGUGAUGGCUUCAAUGAACAGUCAGAGUUUUUAUUCACAGAUGAUGUGGGGAGCCUGAGGAACUAAGCCCAGCUGAGCGCUACAUGAGACAGUGAUAUGUCUGAGAGGGUGUGCAAUCUGCAAAAGGUCAUAAUCUGCAGGUGCAAAUACGUUCACCAAAGCUCUCUGGAGAAAUACUUGAUUCUGAAGUUACUGGAUACUGG